AAGCCACCAGAGAUUCUCAGCUAGCUGCUGCAGGUGUCAGUGCUCCACUCUUUCAUGGUUUGCCUCCUGGCUCAAGAGAUAGUAUGUAUCCUCCUGGUGGGUUCACGAACUUUCUGCAGCACAAUUCAUUUUUGAAUAAUCAGGGUGCUAGCCAAUUGCCAGAAAACUCUCAUUUUGUUGGUGCUACAAGUACUGAACAUGCAGUCUCACCAACUGAAAAUAUUUCAAUGGAUGCUAAUGUUGUUGGUUUAGUGGAAAAAGAACCAAUUGAUAUCGAUGGUGAUUAGACUCCCCAAGCUAUUAGGUCUGAAAUUCGAUUGAACUGGACACAUAAAGAAGAUGAAAGAUUGGCUAGUGCCUGGCUGCUUAAUUCUAUUACCCAGUUGAUGGAAAUGAUAAGAAGUUAGAUCAGUAUUGGGGAGAUGUCACUACAACUUAUAACAGUACAACAGCUAGUAAUAGAACAAGAAAUCGUAACCAAUUGAAGAUUCGCUGGGACCGCAUAAAGAAACCUGUUGCUGACUUUCAUGGUUGCUGGACAAGGAUGAACAAAGUAUAUGAAAGUAGAAUGAGUGACGAUCAAAUAACUAAUAAUGCACUGGAAUUAUAUGCUUCUGAACAUAAUGAUAAGGCUUUUGUUCUGCAGCAUGUGUGGAAUGUAUUGCGCCAUGAAAGGAAGUGGUCUGCAUAUGUGAAAAGACUAUCCAAGGAGGAGGGAAAAGAGAAGGAAAAUAGUGAAAAUCCAUCGAGUGUUUUGAAUAUUGAACAUGAUUCAUCGCAGCGUCCUAUAGGUCAUAAGAAAGCAAAGGAUGAAAGGAAUGGUAAAAGGAAGUCAUCAGAAGGUAUUUCUACGAUAAAUGAGAAGCUUGAAAAGUUUAUUGAAGCAAGGCAGAUGGCUACCAUAGACCGUGAGAAGAUGGCAGAUUUGCAAGAAAGUUUGGCAAAUAAGAAGUUAGAAACAGCCAAGCUUGCUCAUAAAACAGCACGAGAGAAAACAAAGUGCAAAAUGCUAGAGAUGUACAAAGAAUUGUCGUUUGCAAGUACCAGUCAAUUAAGUGAAGAAGCCUUAGCUGAAAGAGAAAAGGCACUGGAGAGCAUGCGGCUAAGUUUGUUUAACAAGAAUGAUUGAGAUGACUGCUUCUGGAGUUCUGUAUGGCACUUGGGAGGUGAAUUGCAUCACUGAAGUACAAGCACUGUGAUAGAUGAAUGGAUGAUUACUAUCUCUCUCUCUAUAUAUAUAUGCAUUCUCAUUACCCAGCGAGAGAGAAAAUGGAUGAUGGAAACCUGUUAUUUAUAUUUAUAUUUUGUAAUGCCUAUGAAUAUGGCUUAUUUUGUUACCUGGUACUUAUGAUUUUCCUAUUACUAUGAAUAUGUUUGCUAUAAUUUAUGGUGUUUGCUGGCAGGACCGUAUGUGUGUGCUGCAUAUUGCUGUCUGAGUGAUAGCCUGAUAGGUGCAGGCCACAUAUUGUAUACAUGCAAUCUGCACAGCUAAUCCUGUUAUUUGUUUGGCUUGUAUUAAAUUGUCCUCCAUAUGGAAACUGCUAUAGAAGUUGUG